GCUUUUAAAGCUCUCUGGCUUGCCUGACUGUUAUGGGGUUCCUCUGCUGUUCGGGGCUGGGGAUUAGGGAUCGGGACCUGGGAUUUUCAGGCAAACAUCCCUGUGCUCUGUUCCUGUAACCCUUGGAUCAGGUGAUGAAAAGCAUAGAAGAACCGUUAAGAAGAAUGGAGCCUGUUGCAGAAUGAACCCCUGAGGAGACAUGGACCCUUUGCCCUCCAGUCCUCCGAGCCUGGUUGGAGGAGGCCAUCGGGAGCCCCUGCUGGCUGCUUCUCAUGAUGGAUUCCUUAGUCAGAACAACUGAAUGCCAGUAUCUUGGAGACUGACUCAUCUGUUGUUGAACCAAAGCAUCAUUGCUUUCCCCCGCCCCCUGCCCCUCCAGUGGGAUUUAUGCAGUGACUUCUCCGGUGGACCAGCCAGCCGUCCUGCUGAACGGGCCAUUGACAGGAGAAGAGCCAGCCUGCGCUUUGGCAGUGGGGACAGACAGCCCGGAGCUCUGUCCCUCCCGCUGGGACAGGCUGUGGGGAAUCCCCUGUUGGCUGCUGUCGACAAGUACCUGCGA